rnacentral:rRNA from 1 species
UACGUAGGGACCGAGCGUUGUCCGGAAUCAUUGGGCGUAAAGCGUGCGCAGGCGGUUCUCCAAGUCCGUUGUGAAAGCCCCGGGCUCAACCUGGGAAUGGCAGUGGAAACUAGGGGACUGGAAUCUGGCAGAGGGGGGUGGAAUGCCGCGUGUAGCAGUGAAAUGCGUAGAGAUGCGGCGGAACACCGAUGGCGAAGGCAGCCCCCUGGGCUGAGAUUGACGCUCAGGCACGAAAGCGUGGGGAGCAAACAGG